UGUAGAAGACAACCUAACAUCCACAGAUACUGUUUAUAAUGCAUCAAAUGAGACACUUCUUCAGCCUGAUGGACAUCCCAUAUCUUACCUGGACAAUAACACAUCCUACCUUCCUUAUUUUAUCUAUAGUUGCAUUCUGGGCCUGAUUUCCUGCUCCGUGUUUCUGAGGAUCAACUAUGAGCUGAAGAUGCUCAUCAUGCUAACAGCCGUGGUGCUCUACAGCGUCAUCAUACUUCAAACACACGCAUUUCUGCUGGAUGAGUACAGUAAAUUCCUCUACAAAACAGAGAUCCUGGAUAGGCCAGGAGUUCUAAAAGACUUGAAAACUAUGGGCUCUGUGUCUCUCUUUAUAUUCUUCAUCACCCUGCUUGUUCUAGCUAGACAGAAUGAAUAUUACUGU